rnacentral:tRNA from 1 species
GGGCCGGUAGCUCAGGUGGUUAGAGCGCACGCCUGAUAAGCGUGAGGUCGGAGGUUCAACUCCUCCUCGUCCCACCA